UAAUUGAAGAGUUUGAUCAUGGCUCAGAUUGAACGCUGGCGGCAGGCCUAACACAUGCAAGUCGGGCGGUAACAGGGAGAAGCUUGCUUCUCUGCUGACGAGCGGCGGACGGGUGAGUAAUGUAUGGGGAUCUGCCUGAUGGAGGGGGAUAACUACUGGAAACGGUAGCUAAUACCGCAUAAUGUCUCCGGACCAAAGCGGGGGACCUUCGGGCCUCGCACCAUCAGAUGAACCCAUAUGGGAUUAGCUUGUAGGUGAGGUAACGGCUCACCUAGGCGACGAUCCCUAGCUGGUCUGAGAGGAUGAUCAGCCACACUGGGACUGAGACACGGCCCAGACUCCUACG
rnacentral:rRNA from 1 species